rnacentral:rRNA from 1 species
UACGUAAGGUGCAAGCGUUAAUCGGAAUUACUGGGCGUAAAGCGUGCGCAGGCGGUUUUGUAAGUCUGUCGUGAAAUCCCCGGGCUCAACCUGGGAAUGGCGAUGGAGACUGCAAGGCUAGAAUCUGGCAGAGGGGGGUAGAAUUCCACGUGUAGCAGUGAAAUGCGUAGAGAUGUGGAGGAAUACCGAUGGCGAAGGCAGCCCCCUGGGAUAACACUGACGCUCAUGCACGAAAGCGUGGGGAGCAAACAGG